rnacentral:rRNA from 1 species
AACGAACGCUGGCGGCAUGCCUAACACAUGCAAGUCGAACGAGACCUUCGGGUCUAGUGGCGCACGGGUGCGUAACGCGUGGGAACCUGCCCUUAGGUUCGGAAUAACUCCCCGAAAGGGGUGCUAAUACCGGAUAAUGUCUUCGGACCAAAGAUUUAUCGCCAUUGGAUGGGCCCGCGUUGGAUUAGCUAGUUGGUAGGGUAAAAGCAUACCAAGGCGACGAUCCAUAGCUGGUCUGAGAGGAUGAUCAGCCACACUGGGACUGAGACACGGCCCAGACUCCUACGGGAGGGAGCAGUGGGGAAUAUUGGACAAGGGAGGAAAGUCUGAUCAAGCCAUGUCGGGUGAGUGAUGAAGGCCUUAGGGUUGUAAAGCCCUUUUACACGGGAUGAUAAUGACAGUACCGGGAGAAUAAGCACCGGCUAACUCCGUG